rnacentral:rRNA from 1 species
CAACCGUAAAAUUGCCAUUGAAACUGGCGAACUUGAGUACAGUAGAGGUAGGCGGAAUUCGUGGUGUAGUGGUGAAAUGCUUAGAUAUCACGAAGAACUCCGAUUGCGAAGGCAGCUUGCUGGACUGUAACUGACGCUGAGGCACGAAAGCGUGGGGAUCAAACAGGAUUAGAUACCCUGGUAGUCCACGCCGUAAACGAUGAAUGCUAGCUGUUAGCGAUAUACUGUUAGCGGCACAGAGAAAUCGUUAAGCAUUCCACCUGGGGAGUACGCCGGCAACGGUGAAACUCAAAGGAAUUGACGGGGGCCCGCACAAGCGGAGGAACAUGUGGUUUAAUUCGAUGAUACGCGAGGAACCUUACCUGGGCUUAAAUUGCAGUGGAAUAACGUGGAAACAUGUUAGCCUUCGGGCCGCUGUGAAGGUGCUGCAUGGUUGUCGUCAGCUCGUGCCGUGAGGUGUCGGCUUAAGUGCCAUAACGAGCGCAACCCUCAUCGAUAGUUACUAACAGGUUAAGCUGAGGACUCUAUCGAGACUGCCGACGUAAGUCGUGAGGAAGGUGGGGAUGACGUCAAAUCAGCACGGCCCUUACGUCCAGGGCUACACACGUGUUACAAUGGGGGGUACAAAGGGCAGCUACCUGGCGACAGGAUGCUAAUCUCAAAAACCUCUCUCAGUUCGGAUUGGAGUCUGCAACCCGACUCCAUGAAGCUGGAUUCGCUAGUAAUCGCGCAUCAGCCACGGCGCGGUGAAUACGUUCCCGGGCCUUGUACACACCGCCCGUCAAGCCAUGGGAGCCGGGGGGACCUGAAGUAUGCAACCGUAAGGAGCGUCCUAGGGUAAAACUGGUGACUGGGGCUAAGUCGUAACAAGGUACC